GGAUACUCCAGUGUUAGACUUUGAAAGGUGUUUCCUCAAUCAACCCUAUGAACAGAAAGUGCGGUUGACCAACCCCAGCAAUUUGCCUGCCUGCUACGGCAUGCUUGAUCAGGAAUAUGAGGAGAAUCCUUCACUGCUUUUAGGCAGUUCUGCACCUAGAGGAGUGAUUCAUCCGGGCACCUCAGAGGAGCUUCCUGUGCGUCUCCUAGCCAAGGCUGUUGGAACGCUACAUCACACGAUACGUAUUGCUAUAUUUGGCAGCCCCCAGCCACCCCUGGAGGUGGCCUUGUCAUGUAUUGGGCACGGGCCACUAGUUCACAUUCAAAC
rnacentral:lncRNA from 1 species